CGCUAGCUACAGGCUUAACACAUGCAAGUCGAGGGGCAGCAUGGUCUUAGCUUGCUAAGGCCGAUGGCGACCGGCGCACGGGUGAGUAACACGUAUCCAACCUGCCGUCUACUCUUGGACAGCCUUCUGAAAGGAAGAUUAAUACAAGAUGGCAUCAUGAGUCCGCAUGUUCACAUGAUUAAAGGUAUUCCGGUAGACGAUGGGGAUGCGUUCCAUUAGAUAGUAGGCGGGGUAACGGCCCACCUAGUCUUCGAUGGAUAGGGGUUCUGAGAGGAAGGUCCUCCACAUUGGAACUGAGACACGGUCCAAACUCCUACGGGAGGCAGCAGUGAGGAAUAUUGGUCAAUGGGCGAGAGCCUGAACCAGCCAAGUAGCGUGAAGGAUGACUGCCCUAUGGGUUGUAAACUUCUUUUAUAAAGGAAUAAAGUCGGGUAUGGAUACCCGUUUGCAUGUACUUUAUGAAUAAGGAUCGGCUAACUCCGUGCCAGCAGCCGCGGUAAUACGGAGGAUCCGAGCGUUAUCCGGAUUUAUUGGGUUUAAAGGGAGCGUAGAUGGAUGUUUAAGUCAGUUGUGAAAGUUUGCGGCUCAACCGUAAAAUUGCAGUUGAUACUGGAUAUCUUGAGUGCAGUUGAGGCAGGCGGAAUUCGUGGUGUAGCGGUGAAAUGCUUAGAUAUCACGAAGAACUCCGAUUGCGAAGGCAGCCUGCUAAGCUGCAACUGACAUUGAGGCUCGAAAGUGUGGGUAUCAAACAGGAUUAGAUACCCUGGUAGUCCACACGGUAAACGAUGAAUACUCGCUGUUUGCGAUAUACGGCAAGCGGCCAAGCGAAAGCGUUAAGUAUUCCACCUGGGGAGUACGCCGGCAACGGUGAAACUCAAAGGAAUUGACGGGGGCCCGCACAAGCGGAGGAACAUGUGGUUUAAUUCGAUGAUACGCGAGGAACCUUACCCGGGCUUAAAUUGCAGAUGAAUUACGGUGAAAGCCGUAAGCCGCAAGGCAUCUGUGAAGGUGCUGCAUGGUUGUCGUCAGCUCGUGCCGUGAGGUGUCGGCUUAAGUGCCAUAACGAGCGCAACCCUUGUUGUCAGUUACUAACAGGUUCUGCUGAGGACUCUGACAAGACUGCCAUCGUAAGAUGUGAGGAAGGUGGGGAUGACGUCAAAUCAGCACGGCCCUUACGUCCGGGGCUACACACGUGUUACAAUGGGGGGUACAGAGGGCCGCUACCACGCGAGUGGAUGCCAAUCCCAAAAACCUCUCUCAGUUCGGACUGGAGUCUGCAACCCGACUCCACGAAGCUGGAUUCGCUAGUAAUCGCGCAUCAGCCACGGCGCGGUGAAUACGUUCCCGGGCCUUGUACACACCGCCCGUCAAGCCAUGGGAGCCGGGGGUACCUGAAGUGCGUAACCGCGAGGAGCGCCCUAGGGUAAAACUGGUGA
rnacentral:rRNA from 1 species